GACGAACGCUGGCGGCGUGCUUAACACAUGCAAGUCGAACGGAAAGGCCCUGCUUUGCUGGGGUGCUCUAGUGGCGAACGGGUGAGUAACACGUUAGUAACCUGCCCUUGACUUUGGGAUAACUUCAGGAAACUGGGGCUAAUACCGGAUAGGAUCUCUCGCUGCAUGGUGGGGGUUGGAAAGUUUCGGCGGUUGGUGAUGGAUUCGCGGCUGAUCAGCUUGUUGGUGGGGUAGUGGCUUACCAAGGCUUUGACGGGUAGCCGGCCUGAGAGGGUGACCGGCGACAUUGGGACUGAGAUACGGCCCAGACUGCUACGGGAGGCAGCAGUGGGGAAUAUUGCAGAAUGGGCGGAAGCCUGAUGCAGAAACGCCGCGUGCGGGAUGACGGCCUUCGGGUUGUAAACCGCUUUCGCCUGUGACGAAGCGUGAGUGACGGUAAUGGGUAAAGAAGCAACGGCUAACUACGUG
rnacentral:rRNA from 1 species